AUAUCGUAUGGUUUAUGGACGCCUAUUUUCAUUUUCAAUUUUCUACUUGCAGAGUGGGGUUCUGGUCGUAAUGACUGGUUUAUUUAGAUAUAUAACAAUUUCAUAAAAUAAAGUAUUAAUAAAAUGCCUGCCUCCAAGAAAGAUCUUCGAAACAAGAAACAACGUCAAAAUAAAGAAGCUGGUAUUGGAGAUAAAGAUGGCAAACUUGUUUCACAAAAAAAUCCUCAAGUUAAAGCCAAAUGUAAAAUAUGUUUGCAAGAAAUAACUAUGGUUAAAGAAUACAACCAAGCAAAAGCGCACGCUGAGACUAAACAUAACAAGCCGUUUAGUGAAUGUUUUCCCGGAUUCUAGCUGCUGAUAAAUUUUUAACUUUUCUAUAUUUUCAUUGAACUUGAAGUUCGCAAAGUUUAAAACUGUAAAUAUUUACGAUAAUAAUAAUAAAAAAGCUAGUUCACUCAUUUUAGCA